ACGGAAGGCAGCAGUAGGGAAUAUUGCACAAUGGGGGAACCCUGAUGCAGCAACGCCACGUGUGGGAAGAAGCAUUUCGGUGUGUAAACCACUGUCGUGAGGGAAUAAUGUUGCGUUUCGGCGCAAUUGAAUGUACCUCGAAAGGAAGCACCGGCAAACUUCGUGCCAGCAGCCGCGGUAAUACGGGGGGUGCAAGCGUUGUUCGGAAUCACUGGGCGUAAAGGGAGCGUAGGCGGAGGAGCAAGCAGUCUGUACAAUCCCGGGGCCCAACCCCGGCUCUGCAGACUGGAGUGUUUCUCGUGGAUAGUUCAGGGGCAGGCGGAAUUCCUGGUGUAGCGGUGGAAUGCGUAGAGAUCAGGAAGAACACCGAUGGCGAAGGCAGCCUGCUGGGGACUUAUCGACGCUGAGGCUCGAAAGUGCGGGUAGCAAACAGGAUUAGAUACCCUGGUA
rnacentral:rRNA from 1 species